rnacentral:rRNA from 1 species
UCAGGUUGUUGGUGAGGUAAUGGCUCACCAAGCCUUUUACCGGUGCGGGCCGUGAGAGCGGGAGCCCGGAGAUGGGCACUGAGACAAGGGCCCAGGCCCUACGGGGCGCAGCAGUCGCGAAAACUUUGCAAUACACGAAAGUGUGACAGGGCUAUCCCGAGUGCCAUCCGCUGAGGAAGGCUUUUACCCAGUCUAGAACGCUGGGGGAAUAAGGAGAGGUAAGUCUGGUGUCAGCCGCCGCGGUAAUACCAGCUCUCCGAGUGGUGUGGAUGUUUAUUGGGCCUAAAGCAUCCGUAGCUGGCUGAGUUAGUCCCUUGUUAAAUCCACCGAAUUAAUCGUUGGAUUGCGGGGGAUACUGCUCGGCUAGGGGACGAGAGAGGCAGACGGUAUUUCUGGGGUAGGGGUGAAAUCCUAUAAUCCCAGGAGGACCACCAGUGGCGAAGGCUGUCUGCUAGAACGCGCCCGACGGUGGGGGAUGAAAGCUGGGGGAGCGAACCGGAUUAGAUACCCGGGUAAUCCCAGCUGUAAACGAUGCAGACUAGGUGUUUGGACGGCCACGUGCCGUUCUAGUGCCGCAGGGAAGCUGUUAAGUCUGCCGCCUGGGGAGUACGAUCGCAAGAUUGAAACUUAAAGGAAUUGGCGGGGGAGCACCACAAGGGGUGAAGCUUGCGGUUUAAUUGGUCAACGCCGGAAAUCUCACCGGGAGCGACAGCAGUAUGAAGGCCAGAUUAAAGGUCUUGCCAGACGAGCUGAGAGGAGGUGCAUGGCCGUCGCCAGUUCGUGCCGUGAGGUGUCCUGUUAAGUCAGGCAACGAUCGAGACCCGCGUCCUCUGUUGCAACUAGCUUUGAGCUGGGCACACUGAGGAGACCGCCACUGAUAAAGUGGAGGAAGGAGCGGGCCACGGCAGGUCAGUAUGCCCCGUAUCUCCCGGGCCACACGCGAGCUGCAAUGGCAGGUACAAUGGGUUCCGACCUCGAAAGGGGAAGGCAAUCUCGAAAGCCUGCCGUAGUUGGGAUCGAGGGCUGCAACCCGCCCUCGUGAACAUGGAAUCCCUAGUAAUCGCGUGCCAUUAGCGCGCGGUGAAUACGUCCCUGCUCCUUGCACACACCGCCCGUCGUUCCAUCCGAGCGACUCUUGGGUGAGGCGCCGUCUUUCGUGGCGGCAUCGAAUCUAAGUUUCGUAAGGAGGGAAAAGUCGUAACAAGGUG